GAAGGUGGGGUCUGCCGGACGCGUGUUCCUGCCACCAGGUGCCCGCUCCCCGCGAGGCCGGCUCAGGAGCAGGUAGAAUGUAAACAAUUGAAAAAAAUCCCUUCCCAAUCAGAAUACCACCCACAGGACAACGAAGAAAACCUAUCUUCAGUCCCCACCCACGAAAUGCUGGGGGGUGGGGAGGACUGGAAAAGGAGUAAGGGGAGAGGAAGGGUGAGCAGCUGCAAGAAGUCUUUACACCUCUCUGCGGUUCCUGGUAAACGCGCUCAUGUCCUGGAAGGAAGCCCGGUGCCAGCCAGCCUUCCUGAAAGACCAAGCCCGCGCCAUCCGGCUUCCUCCAGUGGACGCCUGCAGGACCCAGGUGAGACACGGAACCGGUUGGGGACGCGAGCCAGGGAUCCUGACCGGUUGGGGGCGGCGAGCAAGGGAUCCUGACUUGGGGGCGUUGCCUCCCGGAAUCCAAGCGGCCUUUUGCCCGGGUCUCCCGAGAUGCAUCGAAAUUGAGCUCGUCCACACAGCCCCCUGACUGCGUGAUGCCCUUUUCUGACUUAAAACAUUCCUUGUACCUUUAUUUACACGAUCCAAGUUGCAGUGUGCCUAGAUUUUCCUCCAAGGACAAAAAUGUGAAUAAAGCAAUAUUUUAGCCAAA
rnacentral:lncRNA from 1 species